UUCUCAAUUUAAUCCUAACUAAAUUCACUUACUUUCCUAAUUCAAUUCACACUCUAUUUCUAUUCAAAUUUCAUCCAAACUAAAAUUUAACUAUCAAAAUUUCAGCAUAUUUUGCUAAUUUCGAAUUUCCCUCAAUUUAGUCCCUAAAACAUAAAACUUAUAGUUUCUUUUACAAUUUAAUCCCUUUUUCAAUUCUAACUUAAAAUUCAUUCAAUUUAAUCCCUAAUUCAUCUCUUUUGUUCAACAUAAACUAUACUUGAAAACCUAUGAACUUACAAAAUAUCAACUUAAUUCCAUCAAAAC
rnacentral:lncRNA from 1 species